AGCGUACACGGUGGAUGCCCUGGCAGUCAGAGGCGAUGAAGGACGUGCUAAUCUGCGAUAAGCGUCGGUAAGGUGAUAUGAACCGUUAUAACCGGCGAUUUCCGAAUGGGGAAACCCAGUGUGAUUCGUCACACUAUCAUUAACUGAAUCCAUAGGUUAAUGAGGCGAACCGGGGGAACUGAAACAUCUAAGUACCCCGAGGAAAAGAAAUCAACCGAGAUUCCCCCAGUAGCGGCGAGCGAACGGGGAGCAGCCCAGAGCCUGAAUCAGUGUGUGUGUUAGUGGAAGCGUCUGGAAAGGCGCGCGAUACAGGGUGACAGCCCCGUACACAAAAAUGCACAUGCUGUGAGCUCGAUGAGUAGGGCGGGACACGUGGUAUCCUGUCUGAAUAUGGGGGGACCAUCCUCCAAGGCUAAAUACUCCUGACUGACCGAUAGUGAACCAGUACCGUGAGGGAAAGGCGAAAAGAACCCCGGCGAGGGGAGUGAAAAAGAACCUGAAACCGUGUACGUACAAGCAGUGGGAGCACGCUUAGGCGUGUGACUGCGUACCUUUUGUAUAAUGGGUCAGCGACUUAUAUUCUGUAGCAAGGUUAACCGAAUAGGGGAGCCGAAGGGAAACCGAGUCUUAACUGGGCGUUAAGUUGCAGGGUAUAGACCCGAAACCCGGUGAUCUAGCCAUGGGCAGGUUGAAGGUUGGGUAACACUAACUGGAGGACCGAACCGACUAAUGUUGAAAAAUUAGCGGAUGACUUGUGGCUGGGGGUGAAAGGCCAAUCAAACCGGGAGAUAGCUGGUUCUCCCCGAAAGCUAUUUAGGUAGCGCCUCGUGAAUUCAUCUCCGGGGGUAGAGCACUGUUUCGGCAAGGGGGUCAUCCCGACUUACCAACCCGAUGCAAACUGCGAAUACCGGAGAAUGUUAUCACGGGAGACACACGGCGGGUGCUAACGUCCGUCGUGAAGAGGGAAACAACCCAGACCGCCAGCUAAGGUCCCAAAGUCAUGGUUAAGUGGGAAACGAUGUGGGAAGGCCCAGACAGCCAGGAUGUUGGCUUAGAAGCAGCCAUCCUUUAAAGAAAGCGUAAUAGCUCACUGGUCGAGUCGGCCUGCGCGGAAGAUGUAACGGGGCUAAACCAUGCACCGAAGCUGCGGCAGCGACGCUUAUGCGUUGUUGGGUAGGGGAGCGUUCUGUAAGCCUGCGAAGGUGUGCUGUGAGGCAUGCUGGAGGUAUCAGAAGUGCGAAUGCUGACAUAAGUAACGAUAAAGCGGGUGAAAAGCCCGCUCGCCGGAAGACCAAGGGUUCCUGUCCAACGUUAAUCGGGGCAGGGUGAGUCGACCCCUAAGGCGAGGCCGAAAGGCGUAGUCGAUGGGAAACAGGUUAAUAUUCCUGUACUUGGUGUUACUGCGAAGGGGGGACGGAGAAGGCUAUGUUGGCCGGGCGACGGUUGUCCCGGUUUAAGCGUGUAGGCUGGUUUUCCAGGCAAAUCCGGAAAAUCAAGGCUGAGGCGUGAUGACGAGGCACUACGGUGCUGAAGCAACAAAUGCCCUGCUUCCAGGAAAAGCCUCUAAGCAUCAGGUAACAUCAAAUCGUACCCCAAACCGACACAGGUGGUCAGGUAGAGAAUACCAAGGCGCUUGAGAGAACUCGGGUGAAGGAACUAGGCAAAAUGGUGCCGUAACUUCGGGAGAAGGCACGCUGAUAUGUAGGUGAAGUCCCUCGCGGAUGGAGCUGAAAUCAGUCGAAGAUACCAGCUGGCUGCAACUGUUUAUUAAAAACACAGCACUGUGCAAACACGAAAGUGGACGUAUACGGUGUGACGCCUGCCCGGUGCCGGAAGGUUAAUUGAUGGGGUCAGCGCAAGCGAAGCUCUUGAUCGAAGCCCCGGUAAACGGCGGCCGUAACUAUAACGGUCCUAAGGUAGCGAAAUUCCUUGUCGGGUAAGUUCCGACCUGCACGAAUGGCGUAAUGAUGGCCAGGCUGUCUCCACCCGAGACUCAGUGAAAUUGAACUCGCUGUGAAGAUGCAGUGUACCCGCGGCAAGACGGAAAGACCCCGUGAACCUUUACUAUAGCUUGACACUGAACAUUGAGCCUUGAUGUGUAGGAUAGGUGGGAGGCUUUGAAGUGUGGACGCCAGUCUGCAUGGAGCCGACCUUGAAAUACCACCCUUUAAUGUUUGAUGUUCUAACGUUGACCCGUAAUCCGGGUUGCGGACAGUGUCUGGUGGGUAGUUUGACUGGGGCGGUCUCCUCCUAAAGAGUAACGGAGGAGCACGAAGGUUGGCUAAUCCUGGUCGGACAUCAGGAGGUUAGUGCAAUGGCAUAAGCCAGCUUGACUGCGAGCGUGACGGCGCGAGCAGGUGCGAAAGCAGGUCAUAGUGAUCCGGUGGUUCUGAAUGGAAGGGCCAUCGCUCAACGGAUAAAAGGUACUCCGGGGAUAACAGGCUGAUACCGCCCAAGAGUUCAUAUCGACGGCGGUGUUUGGCACCUCGAUGUCGGCUCAUCACAUCCUGGGGCUGAAGUAGGUCCCAAGGGUAUGGCUGUUCGCCAUUUAAAGUGGUACGCGAGCUGGGUUUAGAACGUCGUGAGACAGUUCGGUCCCUAUCUGCCGUGGGCGCUGGAGAACUGAGGGGGGCUGCUCCUAGUACGAGAGGACCGGAGUGGACGCAUCACUGGUGUUCGGGUUGUCAUGCCAAUGGCACUGCCCGGUAGCUAAAUGCGGAAGAGAUAAGUGCUGAAAGCAUCUAAGCACGAAACUUGCCCCGAGAUGAGUUCUCCCUGACUCCUUGA
rnacentral:rRNA from 1 species